UAAAUAGAUUUAUAACAAAAACACAAACAGAAUUGACAAUUUGUUACUUUUUUAACCCAUCAUUUAUACGAUUCCACAAUUCAAUUCCCGCUCGUCCCGCACGGCGGUAGUAUCGUUGCAGAACAACAUCGUCAGCGUACGGCCAUUACUGUUAAAUGUGGUGAGAUGUAAAGAUACAUUCGUUGAAACAACGACAAAAAAUAAAACAAUAAAAUAUUUAUAUGUUGUAACGAAGAUUAAACUAAAGUUAUUAAAAUGCAUACUGUAAUGGAGGUUGAAACAAGCGUCCCAGCUUUUCUUGGGAAGCUUUGGAAACUCGUUGAAGAUCCUGAGACCGACGACCUUAUUUGUUGGGCACCCAAUGGAAGGAGUUUUUUUAUUAGAAAUUCGGCACAAUUCGCUAGAGAAUUAUUGCCACAUUAUUACAAACACAACAACAUGGCUAGUUUUGUUCGACAACUUAAUAUGUACGGCUUCCACAAGAAAGUAUCAGUGGAACUUGGAGGUCUUAAAUGUGAUAGAGAUGAAAUGGAAUUUGCUCAUCAAUACUUUAUUAAAGAUCACCCUUAUCUAUUGGAACAUAUUAAAAGAAAGAUUGCAUCAAGCAAAUCGCAAGAUGCUCACCCACCGAUUAAAACAGAGAUGAUGAAUAAAGUGUUAAACGAAGUGAGAAGUAUGCGAGGUCGUCAGGAACACAUGGACUCAAGACUUGGUACAAUGAAGAGAGAAAAUGAAGCUCUGUGGCGAGAACUUGCGAUGCUCAGGCGGAAACAUCUUAAACAACAGGAAAUUGUUAAUAAACUAAUACACUUUUUAGUUACACUUGUUCAACCAUCAAGAAGUGGUGGAUUAUCAGUUAAAAGGCGUUAUCCACUUAUGAUCGAUGAUCAUCAACGCAACAAAAAAAUAAAAGUGGGAAAAAACGUACCUGAAGCAUCACCUACGGGGCCUGUGAUACAUGAACUAGAUGCCUCUGAACAUGAUCAUCAUGAAGAUCUUGACUCUGAAUAUAUCGUAGCAGAGAUGUUGGAAAAUCAUCAACAUCCAGCUAUUCAGAGUCCUGAGUCCAUGGAAGCCGUUUUAGAUGAUGAAAAUAUUGAAACGGUGCAGUAUAUAGAGGGUAUGAUACCUGUAAAAGGUGAAACUCAACCAUUACAACAAGAAUGUUCUUCAAAGAAAAAAGCUGUUUUUAAACCAACGAAAAAGAAGAGGAAAAACAAGCUGCCAGUCAAAAUAUUGAUCCCAUCAUCGGAAAUCGGAGAAGAACCCAGGGAAGAAAGAUUAAUGCUUGAAGUGAGCCCGGAUGAAACUCCAGUGCCAAUCGAGUUAUUGGGGUCCAAUACACCGCAGCAGUUGAAGCCAGUGCCUGUGAAGACAGUGAGGAGUUCAAAGCUGGCAGCAAUGGCAGCAAACAUCAAGAUGAAUAGUGCUGAAGCUGAUGAAGACCCUGAUUCAGACGAGGUGGAGGAAGACCCCAAGGAGGCUACUGAAAUUGUAGAUGUUAACUUAGAUGACAUUUUAAUCAUCCCUGAUGUACUAUUGCCUGAAGAAACUAAAAAAUUAGUCAAUGGAGAAUUGAAUAAUAAAUCUCCAGAUGAAACUAAAAAAUCAGAUACAACUGUAGAUAGUACAAAAGAAAAACCUGCUCAAGAUAAGAAUUCUACUCAGGUGACAGAUCUUGAAAAUAAGAGUCCAGAUGAAGGCGAUGCCGCUUCUAGCAGUUCAACUAAGAGUUUGUCCUUGAGUUGCGUAAAUCCUUCAGGAAUGACUAAUGCUGCUUACAGGUUAGGAUCGAUAGAAGAGAUGGAUAAUCAUUUGGAGUCAAUGCAAACGGAACUUGAAAAUUUGCGUGAAAUUUUACGCAAUGAAGGUUACAGUAUCGAUGCCAAUACAUUACUUGGACUGUUUGGUAACGAUGAUCCAAUGUCAUUUGGAAUACCUGUCAAUCCCGAACUAGAUCCAACUCGUACUGAACGAGAAGAGGAAGAGCGUCUAGAGGAAACAUCAAAUGGACCAACCGGACAAGAACUUAUGACGUACAAUCCAUCAUCGAAUUUACUGGAUUUCGAUGAUGAUAUAUUUCUUGGUGCUAAUAACUUGGGUUCAUCCAGUAAUAUGGAGAAUCAAAAUGAAACAAAUGGAUACUACACUCAGGAACCUCUAGAUUUGGAGGAUAGUAAAGCAUUGUUACUCGAUUCCUUGGUUUCUGGAAAUGGAAACUCAUCGUCUAUGCGAUCAUAAAUUAUCAAUUAAUUGUUGAUAACAGAGUUGCGUCUCUUUUGACAUGGUCAAUCGGUCACUUGGUUUCACCUUCCAGUUGCGUUCUAAGUUUCGCGACAUGCCUGAUAAUGACCUCGGAGGAAAUACUGGAUUAUCUUAUAGGGCAGUCAGUAAUUCUACAUAACAAUUUAAGCAGAGCAAAAAUAAUAAUUAGAUAUAAAAAGUCCGUACAUAUAUCACUAAUUUAAUAAUUAGUCUAUCAAGCACAUUAUAAUGUUAAUAGGUUUAUGAUAAUAUUAUGAAAGCUGAAAAGAAAUUAUUAUUACAAUGAACAAAAAAUAUUUAAAGUAUUUAUCGAAUAAUAAAUACUAUUUGUAUGUUUACACAAAUUUCUCUGUGAGAGAUUAAGUAUCAGCUUUGUGCUUUUAGCUGAAAAAAAGAAAAACAUAUUGUCGUAUUUGUGAAACGUGAAAUAUUACGGAAAUAAUAAAUAUAAAAUGAAGGUCAUAAAAUACAAUAAAUUCUGUAAUCGGUAAAAAAAAUUAUCAAAUUUUUUAAUUUGUCGUUCUAUAAAAAUGCAAAAUUAGCCAAAGUAGACAAUGUUAAUUGAUGUACUAAAUAAGAUAAUUCGUCAUGAUCUUCAUUAAAUACGUAAUGUAUACAAAAUGUAUUGACUGAUGACGAUAAAACGUUUCUAUAACAUUGUUAUUUAAUAACAUAAAUAUUUAUGUCAACAAUAUAUUAUAUUGUUAUAUAUUAUAAUAAUUAUAACAAUAUAUUAAAAUUGAUUGUUUUAGUACUUUCUAAAAUGUAAAA